rnacentral:rRNA from 1 species
CACAAGCGGUGGAGCAUGUGGUUUAAUUCGAUGCAACGCGAAGAACCUUACCUACUCUUGACAUCCAGAGAACUUAGCAGAGAUGCUUUGGUGCCUUCGGGAACUCUGAGACAGGUGCUGCAUGGCUGUCGUCAGCUCGUGUUGUGAAAUGUUGGGUUAAGUCCCGCAACGAGCGCAACCCUUAUCCUUUGUUGCCAGCGGUUAGGCCGGGAACUCAAAGGAGACUGCCAGUGAUAAACUGGAGGAAGGUGGGGAUGACGUCAAGUCAUCAUGGCCCUUACGAGUAGGGCUACACACGUGCUACAAUGGCAUAUACAAAGAGAAGCGACCUCGCGAGAGCAAGCGGACCUCAUAAAGUAUGUCGUAGUCCGGAUUGGAGUCUGCAACUCGACUCCAUGAAGUCGGAAUCGCUAGUAAUCGUAGAUCAGAAUGCUACGGUGAAUACGUUCCCGGGCCUUGUACACAC